rnacentral:lncRNA from 1 species
UUUUCGGCCUGUUUUUUUUUGUCAAUCUGAGUACUGCCUGGCGGCGUAAAGCAGCUAGAACGUAAAGUUUUGUUUUAUUUAUUUAAAAUUGUACACACUCGAAAUCUUACAACUGGCCGAACACUGGAUCGGCUGGCGGGCGCCGGAAGACAAGCUGGUCGAGGCCCAUGACAGCUUCCACACCAACUACUGCAUUAAGUGCAAAAAGGAAUACGGCAUUGCCUGGCUGAAGGAGGAGAUCUUCGCUGAUCGGCUGCCCAAGUGCACGACAUGUAAGAAAAUUGUGAAGCCUGAUAUUUUCUUUGGAGAAGACUUGCCCGAAAAGUUGCACAAAAGUUUGGAUGGAGACUUCAAGGAGUGCGAUUUGCUGAUCAUCAUGGGCACCUCGCUGGAAGUGCAUCCGUUUGCAGCUUUGGCGCAGUGCCCAGGACCGCGCUGUGUGCGUCUCUUGAUCAAUCACGAUGUCGUGGGUCGUCCCAAGUUUACCAGCUGGAUGGAUGACCAAAAUGGGCUCUACGAGAACAGCGAGUCAAGUAUUGACUUGGCGGAGAAACAUUCAAAGGCGACUUUCACCCACCUACGUCGAGGCUCUUCAGGUACUUUAUCCGAUUUCGAGAUAUAUUAAUUAGUAUUGAUUCAAGUUCAUCCCACCGUAGUGUAACCGAGCGUGACCAGCGCUGGCGCAGCGCUGGCGCAGCACAGCUCAUUGAGCAGACGAUGAACAGCAGAUAGCAGACUGCAGCUCCAGCUCGAAAACAUCAUCACAUCCGUUCUUGUGAACUCCUCUCUCGAGUUCGAAGUAUCGGCAUUGUGGAUGGUUCAGCAGGACAGCAGGUUCAGGACAGCCCAAUCGAUGCAGCCCAGGCAAGCGGCAGUGACCUUCCUUGUAGAGCGAAUAGAGAAAGGCUUCAGUCUGAAUGGUCUUGCCGAGGCCCAUCUCAUCGGCUAGAAUGGUGUCGAUGGCCUGUCGAGGCUCUUCAGGUACUUUAUCCGAUUUUGAGAUAUAUUAAUUAGUAUUGAUUCAAGUUCAUCCCACCGUAGUGUGACCGAUGAAAACAGCGCUGGCGCAGCACAGCUCAUUGAGCAGACGAUGAACAGCAGAUAGCAGAUUGCGGCUCCAGGUCGAAAACAACAUCACAUCCGUUCUUGGGAAAUCCUCUCUCGAGUUCGAAGUAUCGGCAUUGUGGAUGGUUCAGCAGGACAGCAGGUUCAGGACAGCAGGUUCAGGACAGCCCAAUCGAUGCAGCCCAGGCAAGCGGCAGUGACCUUCCUUGUAGAGGGAAUAGAGAAAAGCCACAGUCUGAAUGGUCUUGCCGAGGCCCAUCUCAUCGGCUAGAAUGGUGUCGAUGGCCUGGCCACAGCUGUAGUGAAGCGCUGGUUUCUCGUCGAGCCCAGUGCCAAGCGGAUGCUGCAGCAGGCAAUCAUUUUGGUCAUCCAUCCCGGUGGUAGAGUUGGGACGACCCACGGCAUCGCGAUUGAUCAAAAGACGCACACAGCGCUGUCCAGGGUACUGCGAGAAAGCUGCAAACGGAUGCACUUCCAGCGAGGUGCCCAUAAUGAUCAGCAGAUCGCACUCCUUGAAGUCUCCAUCCAAACUUUUGUGGAACUUUUCGGGCAAGUCUUCCCCAAAGAAAACAAUAUCCGGCUUCGCAAUUUUCUUGCAUGCCGUGCACUUGGGCGGCCGAUCAGCGAAAAUCUCCUCCUUCAUCCAGGCAAUGCCGUAUUCCUUCUUGCACUUAAUGCAGUGGUUGGUGUGUAAGCUGUCAUGGGCCUUGACCAGCUUAAGUUAAGGCACGCCCGGUACAAUUUUAAAUAAAUAAAACAAAACUCUACGCCAAGUUAAACUUGAAAAAUUUGUAUCAAAAUAUCUGUAUUGCUUUUAAAUUGUCCUAUCCCACUUGAGCGCGACCUGAAGACACCCUGGGAACAUCAGAGAGGAGGCAAGGAAGCACUCACACACCAUGCAAGAUGCCAGAGCAAACCAAUUGCAUUUUCCAUACGGAUUUGCAUGAUUUAAAGGAUCAUUAAAGUUGAACAACGUCGUCAAAAGCAAUAAGACAGUACAACAAAAAAUCGAUAAGAUGUUGAAAACAGGACAGGAGCCUUACCAGAACUUUGAUAGAAUAAAACCAUACAUAUACACUCCCAAUCAGACAACAAACAAAUUUAUUUUUCAAUCAAGGCUCUUUUCCUUAUUUAAAAAUAAAAGAAUUUCACUUCUAAGUUAAAAG